AAAAUCCGUUGACUUUUUAAAUCGUGAGG
rnacentral:tRNA from 3 species